GACACACAAGGAAUGGAGAGGAAAGAAUGCCAUCAGAAGAAUAUCUUCAGAGAAUUGCACAAUAAAGAGUAAUGGUAAGGAAAUUUUCUUAUAGCUAAGGCCAAAUAUUGAGACUACAGAAAUACCCUGGGAGGCUAGAGAGAGGCAACGUCAUGGGGGUAAGAUUGGUUUUUUGUUUGAUUGGUUUUUUUUGGGGGGGGCGGUUAGGUUUUUUCUUUGGAGAAGGAGUCUCCCUCUGUCACCCAGGCUGGAGGGUAGUGGCGCAAUCUCAGCUCACUGCAACCUCCGCCUCCCAGGUUCAAGCGAUUCUCCUGCCUCAGCCUCCCGAGUAGCUUGGAUUACAGGCAACCACCACCUCGGCCGAAUGAUUUUUGUAUUUUUAGUAGAGACAGGGUUUCACCAUGUUGGCCAGUCUGGUCUUGAACUCCUGACCUCAGGUGAUCCAUUCACCUUGGCCUCCCAAAGUGCUGGGAUUAUAGGUAUGAGCCACAUACCCAGCCAGAUUGUUAAAAUAAUAUUAUUACAAGGAGGUGGGUAGAAAAGGCCAAAAUCACUGCCCCAUUAACUUUUCCUAGGCCCCAGUUCAGACCCAAACUCUUUUUAGACUUCCCUUUUCUACCAUCAUGGGCAGCACGGGUGUUGUGGCUCCGAGACCCCUCUUCUAUCCAGCUCCCUGAAAAGAACAAUGCCCACUAAAGGCUUGCUGGGAGUUGAUCCAUCACUUCUGGUUUGGUAGAAUGUUUCCCUAAGGAUCUCUUGAGCCCAGGAAUUCAAGACCAGCCUGAGAAACAUGGAAAAAACGCAUCUCCACAAGAAAUGCAAAAAUGAAUGGGGUGUGGUGGUGUGCGCCUGUAGUCCCUAAGGGCUGUCAGAACUUAGGAGGCUAAGACAGGAGGAUUGCUUGAGCCCAGGAAGUCGAGGCUGCAGUGAGCCAUGAUCACACCACUGUACUCCAGCCUGGGCAACAGAGCAAGACCCUGUCUCAAAGAAAAAGUUUCCCUAAUGUUGCCCACAUGGGUAACUCCCUCCCACCUAUCCCAGUUGUAAUUAAGUGAGAACACUCUAGUCCUUGUUCUUAAAUGAAGGAAGUGAAAAUUUGUGAGGACAAGAAUGUUCUGGGCCUGGUGACCUCCCGAAGUGAGCUUGGCAGCAAAUCUUCCCAUUUGCCUUGGGAAAGCCCUAAAAAAACCAGAGUAUGGGAUACUGAUAGUGGUUAUAAUUGCUAACGAGGUUAGGGUUUUAACACAUGACGCAUGCUAAGUAGUCAAAAUUCCCCAUUUUACAGAAAGAGAAACUGAAGUUCAAAGAUGCUAUGUGCAAUCCCCCUACAUGGAGACACAGUCUGAGUCUAGUUUCUCAAGGCCUUGGCAGGGCCUGAGGGAGUGGGUAACAUGGGUAUGGCUUGUAUACAUUUAUGAAUUUUGUAUCUGGGAAGCAAUAUGGAGAAAUAGCCUGUAAGGAAGGAAAAGAUUAGACACUAUUUACUGCAGCUCCAAACAAAACUACACAGAGGCCAGGAGCAGUGGCUGAUGCCUGUAAUCCCAGCAUUUUGGGAGGCCAAGGUGGGUGAAUCACCUGAAGUCAGGAGUUUGAGACCAGCCUGGCGAACAUGGUGAAACCCUGUCUCCACUAAAAGUACAAAAAUUAGCCGGGUGUGGUGGCACACGCCUGUAAUCCUACCUACUCAGGAGGCUGAGGCAGGAGAAUCACUUGAACCUGGGAGGCAGAGGUUGCAGUGAGCUUGAGAGGUGACAGCCUGCUAGCAGUCCUCACAGCUCUCACUCGCUCUGGGCGCCUCCUCUGCCUGGGCUCCCACUUUGGCGGCAUUUGAGGAGCCCUUCAGCCCACCGCUGCACUAUGGGAGCCCCUUUCUGGGCUGGCCAAGGCCAGAGCCGGCUCCCUCAGCUUGCAGGGAGGUGUGGAGGGAGAGGCGCGAGCGGAACCGGGGCUGCGUGCAGUGCUUGCGGGCCAGCUGGAGUUCCGGGUGGGCGUGGGCUUGGCGGGCCCCGCACUCGGAGCAGCCGGCCGGCCCUGCCAGCCCCAGGCAGUGAGGGGCUUAGCACCCGGGCCAGCGGCUGCGGAGGGUGUACUAGGUCCCCCAGCAGUGCCGGCCCACCGGCGGUGCGCUCGAUUUCUCGCCAGGCCUUAGCUGCCUUCGCACGGGGCAGGGCUCGGGACCUGCAGCCCGCCAUGCCUGAGCCUCCCACCCCCUCCGUGGGCUCCUGUGCGGCCCAAGCCUCCCCGACGAGCGCCGCCCCCUGCUCCAGGGCCCCCAGUCCCAUCGACCGCCCAAGGGCUAAGGAGUGUGAGCGCAUGGCCCAGGACUGGCAGGCAGCUCCACCUGCAGCCCCGGUGCUGGAUCCACUGGGUGAAGCCAGCUGGGCUCCUGAGUCUGGUGGGGACGUGGAGAGUCUUUAUGUCUAGCUCAGGGAUUGUAAAUACACCAAUCGGCACUCUGUAUCUAGCUCAAGGUUUGUAAACACACCAAUCAGCACCCUGUGUCUAGCUCAGGGUUUGUGAGUGCCCCAAUUGACACUCUACCUAGCUGCUCUAGUGGGCCCUUGGAGAACCUUUAUGUCUAGCUCAGGGAUUGUAAAUACACCAAUCGGCACUCUGUAUCUAACUCAAGGUUUGUAAACACGCCAAUCAGCACCCUGUGUCUAGCUCAGGGUUUGUGAGUGCACCAAUCGACACUCUGUAUCUAGCUGCUCUGGUGGGGCCUUGGAGAACCUUUACAUUUAGCUCAGGGAUUGUAAAUACACCAAUCGGCACUCUGUAUCUAACUCAAGGUUUGUAAACACGCCAAUCAGCACCCUGUGUCUAGCUCAGGGUUUGUGAGUGCACCAAUCGACACUCUGUAUCUAGCUGCUCUGGUGGGGCCUUGGAGAACCCGUGUGUCCAUACUCUGUAUCUAACUAAUCUGAUGGGGACGUGGAGAACCUUUGUAUGUAGCUCAGGGAUUGUAAACGCACCAAUCAGCACCCUGUCAAAACAGGCCACUCGGCUCUACCAAUCAGCAGGAUGUGGGUGUGGCCAGAUAAGAGAAUAAAAGCAGGCUGCCCCAGCCAACAGUGGCAACUUGCUCCGGUCCCCUUCCACAGUGUGUAAGCUUUGUUCUUUUGCUCUUUGCAAUAAAUCUUGCUACUGCUCAGUCUUUGAGUCUACAUUGCUUUUGUGAGCUGUAACACUCACUGCAAAGGUCUGCAGCUUCAUUCCUGAAGCCAGUAAGACCACAAACCCACCAGAAGGAAGAAACUCCGAACACAUCUGAACAUCAGAAAGAACAAACUCCAGACAUGCCACCUUAAGAGCUAUAACACUCACCGUGAGGGUCCGUGGCUUCAUUCUUGAAGUCAGUGAGACCAAGAACCCACCAAUUCCGGACACAAGCUAAGAUCACACCACACUGCAUCCCAGCCUGGCAACAGAGCGAGACUGUCUCAAAAAAAAAAAAAGGCCGGGUGCCGUGGCUCACCUUUGUAAUUCCAGCACUUUGAGAGGCUGAGGAGGGUGGAUCACCUGAGGUCAGGAGUUCAAGACCAGCCUAGCCAACAUUGUGAAACCCCGUCUCCACUAAAAAUACAAAAAAAUUAGCCAGAUGUGGUGGGCGCCUGUAAUCUCAGCUACUCAGGAGGCUGAGGCAGGAGAAUCGCUUGAACCUGGAGCAGGGCUGGAUGGGGGGUAGAGGUUGUAGUGAGCUGAGGUCAGGCCACCACACACAAGCCUGGGCAAUAAGAGUGAAAUGCCAUCUCAAUAAAUAUUGUGUUUGGUUCUUGAGUAACAAAAACUCAAUACAAUGGCCUAACUUCAUAGGUGUUUAUUUUUCCCAGUUAUGAAGAAGACUUGAGCAGGCAGUCCAGAGCUGAUACAGCUGCUCCAAUCACCAGAGAUGCAAUCUCCUGCUAGAUGUCUUCACAUCUACCUUUCUAUGUCACAUGUGCAAGAUGGUUGCUCUGCCUUCAGACAUCACAUUUACAUUCCAGGCAGAAAGGAGAAGGAAAGAGCAAAAGAUGUGUUCCGAACAAAUCCAUCUUAAAAACAAACAAGGGGAGGGGUAGCAGGAGAAAAUUUAAAAAGAAGAAGAAGAAAAACAAAAACAGGAAAGCCGUUGUUUCCCUAAAAGCCCCAUCAAGCCGACUUCUACCGGUGACUCAUUACCCAGUCAUGUGGCCACCCCUGGAUUCAAGGCAGUCUGAGGAGGUGAGUGUUUCAAAGAGGCACAUGGAUGCCACAGACAAAAUCAAGUUUCCAUGGUUGAAGGAGAAGAGGACGAUAGAGUUUGGGGAGGCAGCAGGCUACGUCUGCCACAGAAGAUAUAAAGAUAUGGAGCCACACGAGAAGAUGGGGGAGGCUGCCAAAAAAGUCCACUGGGUACAGGUGAGGAGCAGGUGACAUUGGAGUUGCUCCAUCUGAGGAGCCCGCACCUGCAAUGGCUUGUGCUCCUGCUCCUGUGGGUAUAGGCACAAGGCUGAUGCCGAGAGAGUGAGUUGUUUCUGUUGGGGUUCAGAACACAAUACCCCAAAGUAUGGCGAUGAGUACUUAACUAAAGGACAUUGGAAGGCCUCAGAAGCAGCCUCAGAUCCAAGGUCCCUCUGACCUGCUCCUGCCCUCCUGUCUCUCUCGUCCCUCGUUCUCCCCUGAAGUGAGUCAUAGAAACCAGAAUCCUCUUCCCCACGGUAGGUCCUAGAAACUAGAACCCUUUUUCCCCGAAGCAAAAGCCAUAAAAACUGGAAUUAUUACUCUAAACUCUCCUUGACUUUUUGUCCAGAAGAUGGCCAUAAAGAAAUUCUCAGCUAGGUGUGGUGGCUCGUAUCUGUAAUCCCAGCACUUUGAGAGGCCAAGGUGGGAGGAUCACUUGAGGCCAGGAGUUUGAGAUCGGCCUGGGCAACAUAGUAAGACCCCCAUCUCUACAAAACUUUUUUUUUUAAACUUACCUAAGCGUGGUGGUACACCUGUAGUCUCAGCUACUUAGGAGGCUGAGGUGGGAGGGACCCUGCUCUGGCUGUGACUGCUUUAUCACAGGGAGUGCCUAUCUGUGGGCUGCUUUCUACACAUUAAAGCAUUUUCAGAAAGGGCCAACAUCAGCCUUGGAAAAAAGGAGGAAGAGCCACGGAGAGUCUCCCUUUAUCUUCCCCUUAUGUGAUGUGAGAGUGCACAUGACUGUGUGCACAUACACACACACACACACACCACACACACACACCCCACAGGCACACAGGGUCAAGAACAUGCUGGGCAGAGCUUAAGCCACUGAAUGUUUCAGUAGGAAUCAUGAUAUCUAAAAAUAGGACAGCUGAUAAGGGGGUUCUUACUACUCACAGUUCCUGGAAUUAUAUGCAAUUGCAUCUUGGAAACUCAACAAAUAAACAGUUAGUAUGGAAUUAAGGAAUUAAGUUUGGUGAAGUUCAAAGAAGCUGAUGUUACUCACAAGAGUAAAUAGAGAGGAAACCGGGCGUGGUGGCUUCACGCCUGUAAUUCUAGCACUUUGGGAGGCCAAGACGAGCAGAUCACUUGAGGUAGAGAGUUUGAGACCAGCCUGGCCAACAUGAUGAAACCCUGUUCUCUACUAAAAAUACAAAAAUUAGCUGGGUGUGGUGGCAGGCACCUGCAAUCCCAGCUACAUGGGAGGCUGAGGCAGGAGAAUCGCUUGAACCCAGGAGACAGGGGUUGCAGUGAGCCAAGAUCACACCACUGCACUCCAGCCUGGGCGACAGAGCAAGACUCCCU
rnacentral:lncRNA from 1 species